GAGGGUUUUGGCCCCUCGGAGUCGCCCCCGCGGAGGGAAACUCCAAACCGCCUCCUGCUGCGUUGGCUGAAGACCGUCGCGGUGAGGGUCGGAGGAAGAGGUGCUCUUGAAAGGG
rfam:Streptomyces sp. NRRL S-495 contig39.4, whole genome shotgun sequence.